rnacentral:rRNA from 1 species
UACGGGGGGGGUAAGCGUUGUUCGGAAUUACUGGGCGUAAAGGGCUCGUAGGCGGCCAACUAAGUCAGACGUGAAAUCCCUCAGCUUAACUGGGGAACUGCGUCUGAUACUGGAUGGCUUGGAUCCGGGAGAGGGAUGCGGAAUUCCAGGUGUAGCGGUGAAAUGCGCAGAUAUCAGGAGGAACACCGGUGGCGAAGGCGGAUCUCUGGGCCUUACCUGACGCUCAGGCACGAAAGCUAGGGGAGCGAACAGG